rnacentral:rRNA from 1 species
AUGGGGGGAACCCUGAUCCAGCCAUGCCGCGUGUGUGAAGAAGGCCUUUUGGUUGUAAAGCACUUUAAGCGAGGAGGAGGCUACCGAGAUUAAUACUCUUGGAUAGUGGACGUUACUCGCAGAAUAAGCACCGGCUAACUCUGUGCCAGCAGCCGCGGUAAUACAGAGGGUGCAAGCGUUAAUCGGAUUUACUGGGCGUAAAGCGCGCGUAGGUGGCCAAUUAAGUCAAAUGUGAAAUCCCCGAGCUUAACUUGGGAAUUGCAUUCGAUACUGGUUGGCUAGAGUAUGGGAGAGGAUGGUAGAAUUCCAGGUGUAGCGGUGAAAUGCGUAGAGAUCUGGAGGAAUACCGAUGGCGAAGGCAGCCAUCUGGCCUAAUACUGACACUGAGGUGCGAAAGCAUGGGGAGCAAACAGGAUUAGAUACCCUGGUAGUCCAUGCCGUACACGAUGUCUACUAGCCGUUGGGGCCUUUGAGGCUUUAGUGGCGCAGCUAACGCGAUAAGUAGACCGCCUGGGGAGUACGGUCGCAAGACUAAAACUCAGAUGAAUUGACGGGGGCCCGCACAAGCGGUGGAGCAUGUGGUUUAAUUC